GCUGGGCAUGGUGGCGGGUGCCUGUAAUCCCUGCUACUCGGGAGGCUGAGGCAGGAGAAUCACUUGAACCCAGGAGGCGGAGGUUGCAGUGAGUCACGAUCAUGCCACCGCACUCCAGCCUGGGUGACAGAGUGAGACUCUGUCUCAA
rnacentral:SRP_RNA from 1 species